rnacentral:rRNA from 1 species
AACGAACGCUGGCGGCAUGCCUAACACAUGCAAGUCGAACGAGACCUUCGGGCCUAGUGGCGCACGGGUGCGUAACGCGUGGGAACCUGCCCUUAGGUUCGGAAUAACUCCCCGAAAGGGGUGCUAAUACCGGAUAAUGUCUUCGGACCAAAGGUUUAACGCCUUUGGAUGGGCCCGCGUUGGAUUAGCUAGUUGGUAGGGUAAAAGCCUACCAAGGCGACGAUCCAUAGCUGGUCAGAGAGGAUGAUCAGCCACACUGGGACUGAGACACGGCCCAGACUCCUACGGGAGGGAGCAGUGGGGAAUACUGGACAAUGGGGGAAAGCAUGAUCCAGCAAUGCCGCGUGAGUGAUGAAGGCCUUAGGGUUGUAAAGCUCUUUUACCCGGGAUGAUAAUGACAGUACCGGGAGAAUAAGCUCCGGCUAACUCCGUG